rnacentral:rRNA from 1 species
CCCUUAGAUGUUCUGGGCCGCACGCGCGCUACACUGACGAUGGCAACGAGUUUUUCCUUCGCCGAAAGGUGUGGGUAAUCUUUUGAAACAUCGUCGUGGUGGGGAUAGAUCAUUGCAAUUUUUGAUCUUGAACGAGGAAUUCCUAGUAAGCGCGAGUCAUCAGCUCGCGUUGAUUACGUCCCUGCCCUUUGUACACACCGCCCGUCGCUACUACCGAUUGAAUGGUUUAGUGAGGACUCCUGAUUGGCGCCGCCGCCCCGGCAACGGAGCAGCGGACUGCCGAAAAGUUGUUCAAACUUGAUCAUUUAGAGGAAGUAAAAGUCGUAACA